rnacentral:rRNA from 1 species
GGGCCCUUUUCAUUGCCUCCUAGCGGCGAGUGAGCGGCUAGAGCUCACAUUUGAAAUCGUGCUUUGCGGCACGAGUUGUAGAUUGCAGGUUGGAGUCUGUGUGGAAGGCGGUGUCCAAGUCCCUUGGAACAGGGCGCCCAGGAGGGUGAGAGCCCCGUGGGAUGCCGGCGGAAGCAGUGAGGCCCUUCUGACGAGUCGAGUUGUUUGGGAAUGCAGCUCCAAGCGGGUGGUAAAUUCCAUCUAAGGCUAAAUACUGGCGAGAGACCGAUAGCGAACAAGUACUGUGAAGGAAAGAUGAAAAGCACUUUGAAAAGAGAGUGAAACAGCACGUGAAAUUGUUGAAAGGGAAGGGUAUUGCGCCCGACAUGGGGAUUGCGCACCGCUGCCUCUCGUGGGCGGCGCUCUGGGCUUUCCCUGGGCCAGCAUCGGUUCUUGCUGCAGGAGAAGGGGUUCUGGAACGUGGCUCUUCGGAGUGUUAUAGCCAGGGCCAGAUGCUGCGUGCGGGGACCGAGGACUGCGGCCGUGUAGGUCACGGAUGCUGGCAGAACGGCGCAACACCGCCCGUCUUGAAACACGGACCACU